rnacentral:rRNA from 1 species
UACGGAGGGAGCUAGCGUUGUUCGGAAUUACUGGGCGUAAAGCGCGCGUAGGCGGCUUUGUAAGUUAGAGGUGAAAGCCCGGGGCUCAACCCCGGAACUGCCUUUAAAACUGCAUCGCUUGAAUCCGGGAGAGGUGAGUGGAAUUCCGAGUGUAGAGGUGAAAUUCGUAGAUAUUCGGAAGAACACCAGUGGCGAAGGCGGCUCACUGGACCGGCAUUGACGCUGAGGUGCGAAAGCGUGGGGAGCAAACGGG